rnacentral:sRNA from 1 species
GCCGGGCGCGGUGGCUCACGCCUGUAAUCCCAGCAGUUUGGGAGGCCGAGGCGGGUGGAUCACUUGAGGUCAGGAGUUCGAGACCAGCCUGGCCAACAUGGUGAAACCCCGUCUCUA